rnacentral:piRNA from 1 species
UGGAAGAGGUCCAUAGCCC